rnacentral:rRNA from 1 species
AUUGAACGCUGGCGGCAGGCUUAACACAUGCAAGUCGAGCGGGGUGAUGGUGCUUGCACUAUCACUUAGCGGCGGACGGGUGAGUAAUGCUUAGGAAUCUGCCUAUUAGUGGGGGACAACAUCUCGAAAGGGAUGCUAAUACCGCAUACGUCCUACGGGAGAAAGUAGGGGAUCACUUGUGACCUUGCGCUAAUAGAUGAGCCUAAGUCGGUUUAGCUAGUUGGUGGGGUACAGGCGUACCAAGGCGACGAUCUGUAGCGGGUCUGAGAGGAUGCUCCGCCACACUGGGACUGAGACACGGCCCAGACUCCUACGGGAGGCAGCAGUGGGGAAUAUUGGACAAUGGGGGGAACCCUGAUCCAGCCAUGCCGCGUGUGUGAAGAAGGCCUUAUGGUUGUAAAGCACUUUAAGCGAGGAGGAGGCUCUUUUGGUCAAUACCCAAGAUGAGUGGACGUUACUCGCAGAAUAAGCACCGGCUAACUCUGUGCCAGCAGCCGCCGUAA